AAGUGAGUCUUUGUGUUUGAUACCCUGAGA
rnacentral:piRNA from 1 species